GCAAUCCCUGAAAAGAAGAAUAAAUCAAAAUCAGUGUUCAGUGGAAUUAGCCGCAUCUUUACGGGUGAUAAAAAGGCCUCAACUCGGAGCAGCAGUAAGAAAAAAAGUGACACUGGGCCCAAGCAGCCACACAGAGACCCUUUGCUGCAGCUGGUUUCCUUGCAGGAGGCCUCUGGCUGCUGGCCUCUACACCCAGCUUUAGCUGCUGCCCUGGGAAAGACCAGCAAGGAGGUGGAAAACACAAAACCUGCCUCGGUCAACAAGGAAGUGUGGGCCACCGUUCUGGCUCUGAUCUGGCUUCAUGGUUUCAAGAUGGCUGCAAAGGAAGAGUGGGAGCUUCUGGCUAUGAAGGCUGUGUCUUGGCUCAAGGCUCAGAAUGCACCAUGUGUGACAGACUGUGUGGAAGCUGGGAAUGCACUGUUACGAUGCAAGUUGCAGAAAAUCACCCUUGGACUCUGAGACUUUCAACUGGCUUAUGUUUAGGAUUGGCACACCAAAGCUUUGCACCAUCCUACAGUGUUUAUUGCAGUUGUAUCUACAUUGCACUUAAAUGUUUGCACUAUUUUCAUUUUUAUCAUACAGUCUUUUUGUUAAACUCCAUAGAGAUGAGCUGACAUGGAAAAAAGUCAGGUCUGUUUUUGUGCCUUUUCAUUCUUGCUAUACUUACACAGCAGUUCAUUCAUCUAUCAGCUUUGCAGUGGCACAAACAAAUGGAAUUGUUCUUCUGAAACUAAAUGAAAUGACAAAUACGAAGCUACAGUCUUUUGCUAACUAAAGCAUAUUUAAAACAAAUUUGUUGUGUGAUUGUCUGAUCAUAAAUGAAAAACUCCUAAAAUCUUUCCACAUGCCUUUGUUGGAAGAUUAAUUUUUUUAAGGUUCUUCUGGGAACAGUUAAAAUUAAAUACAGUCUCAGUGAUGUGAUUUGAAUGCAACGUCUCAGCAGUUUUCUUUGAAAGUAAAUGACAACACUGGCAAAGUCUUAUUUUCUCCUUGUCAAUUCAGACAUGGGUGGAGCCAAGGGGUGGCCAAAGGUGGCACUGGCAACCCCCGGAACCUGAAUGGCCACCCCUGGUGUCACUCCUGCCAAAGUCAAAAGGCUUGUU